CUCCUCCUCUGCUUCACCUGGAUGAGGGUGCUGCUUCAACCCACUCACCCUUUCCUUCCCUACUGCCCUCUACACUAGGGCAUCAAAACUCUCCACAACCAAGGGCCUCACCUCCCACUGCUUUCAGCAAGGCCAUCCUCUGUUACAAUGUACCUGGAGCUAUAGAUCCCUCCUUAUACACUCCUGGGUUUGUAGUCUAGUCUCCGGGAACACUGGGUGGUCCUGUCAGCAGUUGUUGUUCUUCCAAUAGAGUUGCAACCCCCCUCUGCACUUCCAGUUUUUCCCCAAGCUCCCUGAAGAAGUUCCAUGAGCUCAGGCUAAUGGUUGGUUCCAACUGUCAGUUGCUGGCCAGACCUCCCAAAGAACUGCCACUCCAGGUUCCUGUCUGCAAGCACCUCUUGACCACAGGAGCAGUGUCUGGUUUGGCUACUGCAGACAGGAUGGAUCCCCAGUGUGGGAUCCUAUCUGAUAAAGUCAUUUCUCGCACAGUGAGAGGAGCAUUGGAUCAUCAGAGAUUCAUGUUCUGUAGUACCAGGAAGCAUUUGUGAACACCGAAAGACCAAUCAGGUGCCGAUCCGAUCCGAUACAAUCACACAAGAGUCUUUAUUCACAAGUUCAAACUCGGGCUUAAGUCAUGCUGACCCACAGGAUGGUUUCGGUGGAUAAAAGCCCCAAACACUCCUCAGGACAAGAUUUUAUAGGAAAUAUCAAGAGAAGGCAGCCAGAAUAUAGCACUUCAGAAACAAAGUACCAGAGAAACAAAUGGACAGCAAACAUCAAUUCUGAAAUACAUUGUCUCUGAUCUAUGCAGCUUGGAUAGUGAAUUUCUUUCCAUAAAUAGUUAAUAAGAUAUCAGCUCUAAUGACAAGAAUAAACUGUUAAACCAAUUCAUUUAGGAGCUCAGUAUUGGCUGUUCCCUGAGAGGUUGUACAAGUACCUGACCAAUUCAGAUGCAGAUAGAGCCAACCAUCAGAAGGAGCCCAGGGACCCCUAAGGAAGAGCUGGAUUCUGUGGCAGAAGAAGCUCAGCAGCUCAGCAGGCAGUCUGCUUCUGCAGAGCUGACAUAGAUGAAUCUUUAGCUCAUGGACUGAAGAGAUAAAUGAGAAAAACAAAGAGUUUCCAUGGAAUAAUCAUCAGAUUUUAUGCUUCACCAGUUCCUGUCACUUCCCAAUAGCAUGAUGCUGAAGACUGGAUUUUACUAUGUAAACAUUUUCAAGACACUGAAGAUUUGAAGUAUUUUUUAAUAUAGCCAACUUUUCUCAUAACAAGUCCUUUAUUUGAAUCAGGCAAAUAUGCAAACAGAAUGCUGUUGUAAGACUCCAGGGAGCCUUAGCUUUCUGGAGAUCCUGUGAAUAAAACACAUGAAGCUGGGAUUGAUGCAAAAAGCAAGAGGAAUUUAUUGUUUCUGUGCACCAGGUUCGUCCCAGACCCAAAGGAGAGGCAGUGGCCCCCAGCACCCAACUGCCCCCAGACUAGAGAUGAACCUACUACAUUGUGAAUGCUGGCAAAUACUCUACAACUGUAUUACAUCCCAGGGCUGGAACCCAACUCAUCUUCUGCAACAAUUACAGGGCAGGCUGGAUGAAGACACUCAACCUACAAUGUGGCCAUCUCAUGACUGGUUCAUGAGAAUGGCUUACAAAAUGCUUUCAAGACUGGGAAUGUUUAGCUGUCUGGGAGAGAAAAUAAGGAGACUCAGUCUACACUGUACAUUAAGGGCUGUUUAUUCUGUUAAAGGCUGACAUAGAUUAUUGACUCAUGUCACAUGUGAAAGUAAAUAAAAAUCCAGGUUAAUGUAUGCAUCUGGUAGGAUUUACCAAACACACCACCAUACAUGAGUGGACUUAGAAAGACCCAGGCCCCUCAGGGUUCUAAGGUAUUCAAGGAGUCUCCACAAAUACAAUAGUAACAUGCUAGUGUAGUCUAAAUUUUCUCUCACUGGUCUCACCUCAGUUCUAGUGUACUGCUGAGUGGGGCAUUGGGCUAUGCACAGACAGGCUGGUCUCCAGUUGAGCU